GUGACAGCAGCCGCGGUAACACGUAGGAGACGAGCGUUAUCCGGAUUUACUGGGUGUAAAGCGCGUGCAGGCGGUAUGGUAAGUUGGAUGUGAAAGCUCCUGGCUUAACUGGGAGAGGUCGUACAAGACUGCCAAACUAGAGGACAGCAGAGGGGAGUGGAAUUCCGAGUGUAGCGGUAAAAUGCAUAGAUAUUCGGAAGAACACCAGUGGCGAAGGCGGCUCUCUGGGCUGUACCUGACGCUCAGACGCGAAAGCUAGGGUAGCAAACGGGAUUAGAUACCCGUGUAGUCC
rnacentral:rRNA from 1 species